rnacentral:rRNA from 1 species
CAUCCUCCAAGGCUAAAUACUCCUGACUGACCGAUAGUGAACCAGUACCGUGAGGGAAAGGCGAAAAGAACCCCGGCGAGGGGAGUGAAAAAGAACCUGAAACCGUGUACGUACAAGCAGUGGGAGCACAGGUUUACCUGUGUGACUGCGUACCUUUUGUAUAAUGGGUCAGCGACUUAUAUUCUGUAGCAAGGUUAACCGAAUAGGGGAGCCGGAGGGAAACCGAGUCUUAAUUGGGCGUUAAGUUGCAGGGUAUAGACCCGAAACCCGGUGAUCUAGCCAUGGGCAGGUUGAAGGUUGGGUAACACUAACUGGAGGACCGAACCGACUAAUGUUGAAAAAUUAGCGGAUGACCUGUGGCUGGGGGUGAAAGGCCAAUCAAACCGGGAGAUAGCUGGUUCUCCCCGAAAGCUAUUUAGGUAGCGCCUCGUGAAUUCAUCUCCGGGGGUAGAGCACUGUUUCGGCUAGGGGGCCAUCCCGGCUUACCAACCCGAUGCAAACUGCGAAUACCGGAGAAUGUUAUCACGGGAGACACACGGCGGGU